rnacentral:tRNA from 1 species
AGUUAUUGCCUGGGGCGUAUUUGUCUUGAAAACAAAUUUAGAGUGUUCGAUCCACUUAAUAACUU